AACGAACGCUGGCGGCGCGCCUAAUACAUGCAAGUCGAGCGAGAAGGUGUAGCAAUACACUUGUAAAGCGGCGAACGGGUGAGGAAUACAUGGGUGACCUACCAUUGAGUGGGGAAUAACCAGCCGAAAGGCUGGCUAAUACCGCGUACGCUUCCGGAUUUUCGAGUUCGGAAGGAAAGCGAUACCGUGGGUAUCGCGCUCUUUGAUGGGCUCAUGUCCUAUCAGCUUGUUGGAGGGUAACGGCCUACCAAGGCUUUGACGGGUAGCUGGUCUGAGAGGACGAUCAGCCACACUGGCACUGCGACACGGGCCAGACUCCUACGGGAGGCAGCAGUAAGGAAUAUUGCGCAAUGGGCGAAAGCCUGACGCAGCGACGCCGCGUGAGGGAUGACGGCCUCGG
rnacentral:rRNA from 1 species